rnacentral:rRNA from 1 species
GACGAACGCUGGCGGCGUGCUUAACACAUGCAAGUCGAACGGAAAGGCCCUGCUUUUGUGGGGUGCUCGAGUGGCGAACGGGUGAGUAACACGUGAGUAACCUGCCCUUGACUUUGGGAUAACUUCAGGAAACUGGUGCUAAUACCGGAUAGGAGCUCCUGCUGCAUGGUGGGGGUUGGAAAGUUUCGGCGGUUGGGGAUGGACUCGCGGCUUAUCAGCUUGUUGGUGGGGUAGUGGCUUACCAAGGCUUUGACGGGUAGCCGGCCUGAGAGGGUGACCGGCCACAUUGGGCCUGAGAUACGGCCCAGACUCGAACGGGAGGCAGCAGUGGGGAAUAUUGCACAAUGGGCGGAAGCCUGAUGCAGCAACGCCGCGUGCGGGAUGACGGCCUUCGGGUUGUAAACCGCUUUCGCCUGUGACGAAGCGUGAGUGACGGUAAUGGGUAAAGAAGCACCGGCUAACUACGUG